CCCGGCGAUCAUACUGGAGAGGCCACACCCGUUCCCAUUCCGAAUACGGCCGUUAAGCUCUCUAAGGCUGAUGGUACUGCCUUCGCAAGGAGGUGGGAGAGUAAGUAGUUGCCGGGC
rnacentral:rRNA from 1 species